rnacentral:tRNA from 1 species
UGUCUAGUAGUUAAUACCUUAUAACGACGGAUUGCAAAUCUGUAGUAGCCGUGAGCCUAGAUUU